rnacentral:misc_RNA from 1 species
ACCUUAAAAUGUCCUCAUAUCUCUUUGCAAUUUUUUUAGAUUUAAUAGUUUUACAUAAUCAUUAUGUUUUACUACUAAAUCAUGACAGAAAUGCAACUCUAUUUCAUGUUUAUUUCUUUAAAUAUUAUUUUUAGACGUCGAAACUAAUCUGUGAGCUAAAUGUAUAAAUAUUCUUUUAAUAAAUUUUAUUGUUUUGUUAAAGUUGAUUUGUUAUUCAUUUUGUACUAGUCCUCCUUUUGCCAAUUUAUGCUUGAUUUAUCUAAUGACUUUUAACCAUUCAUGACUGCUCAUAUUUACUACCAGUACAUUUGUAAUUUUAGUUCCUUAAAACAUAAUUUAGGGGGUUUUUUUUAUCGACAUUAUUAUACCGGUAGAUCAGAUUAUUAGACUGUUAUAGAUAUAUAUAUAAGUAACAUUAUCCAUUUAAAUCAAUUAAAGAAAAAAAACGAAGAGAAAUAUCAGAAAUAAUGGGGCAUCGUUUUUCUUUCAAUUGCUUUUUCUACUGCUAAACUAAAACCAGUGGAAACAUUAAGGUCAAUUUUUCUUUACCAGCUGACACAAAUUUUCAAGAAUUCGAGAACAAUAAAAUACUUUUAUGCGAGGUCAGGUGAAUGAAUUGAGCCGGUUUGGCAGUUUGACGGUUUGUCAAAAUAUAUCUGAUGCAUUCAUGCCACAACAAAAAUAAAACAUAGGUAAUCAAAGAUUACAAAGCUCACCAAGAUGAGGCGUCACCUUUAUGAGAUCACCUUUAUCAUGUUAUAUGAAAAUCAUAGUUAUUGAUCUUUAUUAAAAUUAUUGUAUAUUAAUGUGUGGUUUGACACAAUAUUGUAUAAUAUCAUAUUAUAUUACAAUACUGUAUCAUAUUAUAUGUAAAUUUCAUACUGUACUGUAUGAUACAACAUCUAUCAAUAAAUUACUAUAUAAUA